rnacentral:rRNA from 1 species
AGGUUACUGCUAUCGGUGUUCGCCUAAGCCAUGCGAGUCAUAUGUUCGUAAGAACAUGGCGUACUGCUCAGUAACACGUGGAUAACCUGCCCUUGGGUCCGGCAUAACCCCGGGAAACUGGGGAUAAUUCCGGAUAACGCACAUAUGCUGGAAUGCUUUAUGCGUAAAAUGGAUUCGUCUGCCCAAGGAUGGGUCUGCGGCCUAUCAGGUAGUAGUGGGUGUAAUGUACCUACUAGCCUACGACGGGUGCGGGUUGUGAGAGCAAGAGCCCGGAGAUGGAUUCUGAGGCAUGAAUCCAGGCCCUACGGGGCGCAGCAGGCGCGAAAACUUUACAAUGCGGGAAACCGUGAUAAGGGGACACCGAGUGCCAGCAUCCUAUGCUGGCUGUCCGGGUGUGUAAAAUACACCUGUUAGCAAGGGCCGGGCAAGACCGGUGCCAGCCGCCGCGGUAACACCGGCGGCCCGAGUGGUGAUCGUGAUUAUUGGGUCUAAAGGGUCCGUAGCCGGUUUGGUCAGUCCUCCGGGAAACCUGACAGCUUAACUGUUAGGCUUUCGGAGGAUACUGCCAGACUUGGAACCGGGAGAGGUAAGAGGUACUACAGGGGUAGGAGUGAAAUCUUGUAAUCCCUGUGGGACCACCUGUGGCGAAGGCGUCUUACCAGAACGGGUUCGACGGUGAGGGACGAAAGCUGGGGGCACGAACCGGAUUAGAUACCCGGGUAGUCCCAGCCGUAAACGAUGCUCGCUAGGUGUCAGGCAUGGCGCGACCGUGUCUGGUGCCGCAGGGAAGCCGUGAAGCGAGCCACCUGGGAAGUACGGCCGCAAGGCUGAAACUUAA